UACGGAGGAUGUGAGCGUUAUCCGGAUUUAUUGGGUUUAAAGGGUGCGUAGGCGGGCUGUUAAGUCAGCGGUGAAAGUUUGCGGCUCAGCCGUAAAAUUGCCGUUGAAACUGGCGGUCUUGAGUACAGACGAGGUAGGCGGAAUGUAACGCGUAGCGGUGAAAUGCUUAGAUGUCACGAAGAACUCCGAUUGCGAGGGCAGCCUUCCAGGGCAUUACUGACGCUAAGGCUCGAAGGUGCGGGUAUCGAAC
rnacentral:rRNA from 1 species